GACGAACGCUGGCGGCGUGCCUAAUACAUGCAAGUCGAACGAGAGCGACCGGUGCUUGCACUGGUCAAUCUAGUGGCGAACGGGUGAGUAACACGUGGGUAACCUGCCCAUCAGAGGGGGAUAACAUCCGGAAACGGAUGCUAAAACCGCAUAGGUCUUCGAACCGCAUGGUUUGAAGAGGAAAAGAGGCGCAAGCUUCUGCUGAUGGAUGGACCCGCGGUGCAUUAGCUAGUUGGUGAGGUAACGGCUCACCAAGGCCGUGAUGCAUAGCCGACCUGAGGGGGGGAUCGGCACAAUGGGGAAGGAGACAGGGCCCAAACCCCAACGGGGGGCAGGAGUGGGGAAUCUUCCGAAAUGGAGGAAAGGCUGAGGGGGAAACGCCGGGGGAGUGAAGAAGGUUUGCGGAUCGUAAAACUUUGUUUUUAGAGAAGAAAAAGUGCUAGGGUAACUUUUAGGGCCUUGGCGGUAUCAAACCAGAAAGCCCCGGUUAACUACGU
rnacentral:rRNA from 1 species